rnacentral:rRNA from 1 species
AGUGAACGCUGGCGGUAGGCCUAACACAUGCAAGUCGAGCGGCAGCACAGUAAGAGCUUGCUCUUACGGGUGGCGAGUGGCGGACGGGUGAGGCAUACAUCGGAAUCUACUUUUUCGUGGGGGAUAACGUAGGGAAACUUACGCUAAUACCGCAUACGACCUACGGGUGAAAGCAGGGGAUCUUCGGACCUUGCGCGAUUGAAUGAGCCGAUGUCGGAUUAGCUAGUUGGCGGGGUAAAGGCACACCAAGGCGACGAUGCGUAGCUGGUCUGAGAGGAUGAUCAGCCACACUGGAACUGAGACACGGUCCAGACUCCUACGGGAGGCAGCAGUGGGGAAUAUUGGACAAUGGGCGCAAGCCUGAUCCAGCCAUACCGCGUGGGUGAAGAAGGUCUUCGGGUUGUAAAGCCCUUUUGUUGGGAAAGAAAAGCAGCAGGUGAAUACCCCGCUGUUCUGACGGUACCCAAAGAAUAAGCACCGGCUAACUUCGUG